GGGGAGGUAACAACAAGACACGUGAACACGAAAGCCGGAAGUAAAUAGCCUUCAACGGACUCUGGGUGCCACGGAACAUAUCGGCACCAGCAAUGCUCCCGGGCUACAGUCCUGUGACCCAGGCUCUCCUGGGGACCCUGUUCACCUGGGGCCUGACUGCUGCAGGAGCAGCCCUCGUCUUCAUCUUCUCCAGCAGACAGAAGCGGAUCUUGGAUGGAAGUCUGGGCUUUGCAGCCGGGGUCAUGUUGGCUGCGUCCUAUUGGUCGUUGCUGGCCCCGGCGAUAGACAUGGCCGAGGAUUCUGGGAAGUAUGGCUCGUUUGCGUGUGUGCCUGUUGCCGUGGGUUUCACCCUGGGUGCUGCCUUCGUCUACUUGGCCGACCUGGUGAUGCCUGCUCUGGUGAGUCCACACACACACACAC